rnacentral:sRNA from 1 species
UGGCAGCGAUAACACUGCGCGGGCCCG